GCGGAAAGAUUAGACCCCAUUUUGAGAGAAUGCCAAAAAAGAACAGUGUUCAUAAAUAAACUGAUAAAAUAUAGACAUCAUUAUACUGUAACUCAUUGUUCAUGGGGAAGCAAUGUAUACAAAAACAAACCUUCGUAUUAAAUUAGAACUGCAUGUUAGAUACUUUUUAAUGUGUCUAGUUGGCCGGACAAACAUACAACAAACAAAGAAACACAAGCAAAUAAAAAACAGGGAUGAGAUAUUAUAACUGGAGGAGGUAUAAUAAAUAAUGAACAAUAAGACAGAUGCAUCAUCACAAUGUAUGUCAACCUUUUUCAACAUUAGAAUAAUAAUAAAGUAGCUGUGAGACUCAUGCAAGCCUUUUUAUUAUCAGCUGUUCCACUUAGACUUUACAACGUUCCGACCUUUUUAAGUAGCGCCGAGCUGGAGUGGAUCUUGAAAUGAAUGCGUGCUUCAUCACCAGAAAUUUGGGACAAGAUGGCGACCGAAAAUUACUAUAAACAGUAUAGGAGUUGACAAAAAUAUAAAAUUUUAACCUACUUUGUUUAAAUAUUUCAUUACUGUGGACUUCGAUAAUAACGACAUGAACAAGCAACAUUUCUACAUAAAGUUUGUUAGCAUUUGUUUACGUCUAGGUGGUUCCUGAGAUACACGUACUUCCACUGGCAAUUCCAUCGAGUUGAUAGUGUAAUUUUAUAGUAAAUCGCUUAUACACCAGGGGCCGAUUGUAUAAAAAAGUGAUUAAAGUUAACUAUAGUUAGUGGAAACGUAAUCCAAUAAAAAGCGCGUAUUUGAGAGUUAAUCACUAUUUAACUACAAAAUAGUGAUUAAAAAAGUGAUUAAGAGUUUUAUACAACGGCCCCUGGUUAUUUCAGCAGCGAACGAAAAAGAGUUAACUACUUUUUAACUGCAGUUAGCGCUAACUACGUUUUUAUACAACCGGCCCCAGAUAGAUAUCCGUCGAAUAAUGUAGUAUCCUUUCGGGCGAUUCAAGCUGUGGACUUCGCGAUGUAAUUGUCGAUGUUCAAACAGUUAAUUUAUCCAAAAACAAUGCUAGUUAAUCCACGACAAACCGGUUCCAAAAUCGUUUAAAAGUUGGCCUUUUUACGGUUCUUGUAUGUCGCCAUUAGGCCAUCUUAAUAUCCAAAAACGACAACUUUUAAUACAAAUUUGAGCUGUUUCGAACAGCCAUGUUUCUUGUUUAUUUUGCAAGACUAGAUCC